UACAGAGGGUGCGAGCGUUAAUCGGAGUUAUUGGGCGUAAAGGGCGCGUAGGUGGUUUAUUAAGAAAGAGGUGAAAACCCUGGGCUUAACCUGGGACGUGCCUCUUAGACUGAUAGGCUAGAGUAUUGUAGAGGGUAGAGGAAUUUCCGGUGUAGCGGUGAAAUGCGUAGAGAUCGGAAGGAACACCAGUGGCGAAGGCGGCUACCUGGACAAAUACUGACACUGAGGCGCGAGAGCGUGGGUAGCAAACAGG
rnacentral:rRNA from 1 species